CCUCCUCUUCUGACGGGCACGCCUGCAGGCUUUGAUUGGCCAGUGAGUCUUGAGUGACGUGAGCACCUCCCUUAGGUUAGAGUGUGCUGAAGAGACACCGGAUCGAGGGUCUCAACCUAGGUUUCCAGUUCAGGACCAGAACUUUUCGAGAUCUGCAGGGAUUUCAGCAGCACCCUUCAUUGCUGUUAUUCAGGCUCCAUGCUGUGAGACCAGGAAGGCUUUACAGUGGACCACUUCCAGUCCAUGGCAUUCCAUAGGUGGGCAGCACCUGAAGUUCCCCAGCAAGGGCUCGGAUCUCCCACCCACCUCGUGCCCCACGUCCACAGCAGCCUUGGGGGCCCAUCCUUCCCCAGCCCCUGUCCGUCCCCAGGCUCGGAUUCCUGAAAGAGGAGGAGAAGGAAGAGGAGCAGGAAGAGGAGCAGGAAGAGGAGCCCUGUUGGGCAACGGAAACAAAGUUUACAUUCUCCUGUAGCUUUAAAACCACAGCUGGUUAGGAUGAAAGAGUAGAUGCCCUGCAGUUUGGCCCCGGAGCCAGGACAGAGGAAUGCAGGGCCUGUAAGGACCUGACCCCAGAAGGGAAGACUCAUCACAGAGCCUUUGGGAAGGCUAGAAGAGAGGUUGAACUCUUAUUAAAAAUGCUGGCCUGGCCCGCCUGCUAGGGUUAUGACUGAAGAAUGAGCCGCUCAGAAUUGGUCCCCACCUGACCCCUGAUCCAGAGACUAGAGCCAAGCAGGGCAGGAGGGUUGGGUGAAGUCUGUCGCUCAGUGCAUAAGAACGUGUUGACAGUCCAAGCGCACACAGUAGGCACCGAAGGUAUGCAUGCAUGUGUCUUGACUAUGCGUGACAUGACGGCGGCCACGCCCCCACGGAGGACAGAGUCUUUUGGGAGA